rnacentral:rRNA from 1 species
UUUUAUAUGAGAGUUUGAUCCUGGCUCAGGAUGAACGCCGGCGGUGUGCCUAAUACAUGCAAGUCGAACGCGUUGGCCCAGCUGAUUGAACGUGCUUGCACGGACUUGACGUUGGUUUACCAGCGAGUGGCGGACGGGUGAGUAACACGUAGGUAACCUGCCCCAAAGCGGGGGAUAACAUUUGGAAA